UUUUUGGAGAGUUUGAUCCUGGCUCAGGACGAACGCUGGCGGCGUGCCUAACACAUGCAAGUCGUGCGAGGACAGUGCCUUCGGGUGCUGAGCCGAGCGGCGGACGGGUGAGUAACACGUGAGCAACCCAACCCGGUGCGGGGGAUAACCCGGGGAAACUCGGGCUAAUACCGCAUGGUCCCUCUGGUUCGCAUGGGCCGGGGGGGAAAGGUGGCCUCUCGAAGAAGCUGCUGUGCCGGGAGGGGCUCGCGGCCUAUCAGCUAGUUGGUGGGGUAACGGCCCACCAAGGCGACGACGGGUAGCGGGUCUGAGAGGACGGCCCGCCACAUUGGGACUGAGACACGGCCCAGACUCCUACGGGAGGCAGCAGUGGGGAAUCUU
rnacentral:rRNA from 1 species